CGUGUGUGUUGUGCCUCUCUUAGGUCGACAGCCGUGUGUGUUGUGCCUCUCUUAGGUCGACAGCCGUGUGUGUUGUGCCUCUCUUAGGUCGACAGCCGUGUGUGUUGUGCCUCUCUUAGGUCGACAGCCGUGUGUGUUGUGCCUCUCUUAGGUCGACAGCCGUGUGUGUUGUGCCUCUCUUAGGUCGACAGCCGUGUGUGUUGUGCCUCUCUUAGGUCGACAGCCGUGUGUGUUGUGCCUCUCUUAGGUCGACAGCCGUGUGUGUUGUGCCUCUCUUAGGUCGACAGCCGUGUGUGUUGUGCCUCUCUUAGGUCGACAGCCGUGUGUGUUGUGCCUCUCUUAGG